UGUUCCAUAAAGCGAAAAUAGUGUGCAUAAACGGAUGCUAAUAGGAUUGUUGUUGUGUCGUGGUUUGGAGAGAAUGCCAGGCCAUUAUCUUGUCCUUGUUUAUUUUCAUGGUUGAGCACAGUGCAAAGCCACAGUUGUUUACUAUUUUCCUCCGCACGCAUUCCCGGCAGCACAUUGCAUUCCCUGCAGUACAUCGCAUUCCCUGCAGUACAUCGCAUUCCCCGCAGCACAUCGCAUUCAGUUCGGCGCUCAAAUCUAUACCAUGACCAACAUGAUUAACGUUGACAAAACAUACAGGAAGCACGUCCUUUACAACAGCGUGUUAAUAUACAUUUUUUUAACUUUAUUAUUAAUAUACAUUUUUUUUACUUUUAUUAUUUACAAGCGUUGGGGAUAGAAGUCGGGGAGAACUGGAGGAGAGUUCGUUGAAUGUUGCUGGUGGUUCCUAGAAGUAGACGGGCAGACGGCCGACUCCUGUGGGCCCCUGGGAGAUCUUCUCUGUGUUGGGCAGUUGGGCCUGCCGGUUCAGCAGUGUUGUUUACUCAGGGGAAGGGACCAUGGGAAAUGCGACCACAUCCCGCCGGUCGCUCCUCUGUCCCCCUGCAGCUGGGUGCGUGUCUUCCCACCAACCCUGCGCUUCUCCAGACAGGACCCCCAUCAAGCGCUGUGACGUCAGCAGCCCCAAGACCACACUCAGCCUCCUGUAGGAUCCCGGGUCUUGGACGGCAGCACACCAGAACACAGCGGUUUCUUUUAAGAGGACAGUUCAAACUAAAUGGUUCCCUGGAAAAUAGUUCUGUGAAACCCUAACUGGCUUUCCCAUGUUCAGGACAAAAAUAAUUAGAAUCAAGGUUUGAUAUCGUGGUCGUCGAUGAAAAUGUCCUUCACUUGUAAAUAGUGCUGUGAGGUUUAUGUUUAGCCUGAUGAGGUUGGGGCUGCAGUCAUUUGAGGAUAAAACUUUGUAGGGACUUUUCUCUUCAAUUAAGAAACAAUGUGAGUGCUUUGUAAGUAUGUACUGCUUCUUCCACUUGGCCUGAAGUAUGGGGUGUACAUGAGGGAAUAUGAACUGUGCGUGUGUAUGUGUGUAUGCAUGUGUGUGUGUGUGUGUCUGUGUGUGUGUGUGUAUAAACAUAUAUAUAUUUAUAAGUCCCUGCAGUGAACUUCAGUUGUCACAUCCACUGUCAUCACACAUAAGUAACUUAAAUAAGCAAUGGACCCUAACAGUAUAUAUUAACUAGGCUCUGCUUUGUAUAAGGAAAGGUCACUACUGUGAUGCACAUGCUGUGUUUGUUUCAUCCCAAUACAUUUUUGUAAUAUAAACCUGCCAUAUUCUAUUCAUAAGAAGGUCAUGGUAUACAUUAUAUUUGUUUGGCAUACACGGCAAGUACAAGUAAGUAACCACAUUGGAAUACGGUCAGGGGCAGGAAGUCGUUUUAUGAAGUCAGUAUUUCGAUAAAGAAUACUGGUGUUGUGGAGCAAAUUGUGACAAGCCCCAUCUACGGUUUAUCUACAGGAACAUCCUCGAUUCACAAACAGCUUUGUCAUCUUCAAUGCACUUUUAUAAAGCUAACAGUGAUGGCUUUAUACACGCCGUGCUUUGAAUAGUUGGAAGUCAUAAAUGGAAAUUACAGAU